rnacentral:misc_RNA from 1 species
AAGUCGUAACAAGGUUUCCGUAGGUGAACCUGCGGAAGGAUCAUUAGAAAUUUUUUUAUGUAUUCAAAAAUUUUAAAUCUUUUAAUGCGAAAAAUGUAAAUGUAUUAUCAUGAGACAACUUUCAACAACGGAUCUCUUGGCUCUU